UCUCCUACAGCUCUGAAGGCUCAGGGGCCUGGGCUACUGUCUUACCUGCCCAGGAGCCUGCAGCGUUUCCACUGCUCAGCCAUGUGCCUGCUGCUCCUCUCGGUGCUUGAGAUGGUUUUUGCCCUGAGUGGAGCUCAGUCAGUGACCCAGCCCCACGGCCACAUCACUGUCUCUGAAGGAGCCCGCCUGGAGCUGAGGUGCAACUACUCAUCUUCUGUUUCGCCGUAUCUCUUCUGGUAUAUGCAGUACCCCAACCAAGGACUCCAGCUUCUCCUGAAGUACACAUCUGGAAACAGCCUUGUUUCAGGCAUCAAAGGUUUUGAGGCUGAAUUUAGGAGGAAUGAAACUUCCUUCCACCUGAGGAAACCCUCAGCCCAUUUGAAUGACUCGGCUGAGUACUUCUGUGCUCUGAGUGACACAGUGCCUGAGUCUGCAGGGGGACCUGAACACAAACCUCCUGAGACCUUGGGACUUUUUUGUGACUCAAGAACUUGA